UCCGGAAUAGCUCACUUGGGAGAGCGUUAGACUGAGGUUGUUUACCCAACAGUCAUCUAAGGCCCCCGGUUCAAUUCCGGGUUCCAGCA
rnacentral:tRNA from 1 species